GUGUAAUCAAAGUUAAUAUAUAAAAAAUAAAUAAAUAAAUGAAUGGACCUGGAUUAUUGAUAGUCAUUUAAUUACCUUACAAUUAUUUAUCCACAGUAUCAUCUUGAUGAACAACGUCAACAAAAGCCAGAGCAAUUAGCAAGGCCGAAUGAAGCUGAUCACGAUCUAUACCGUGGGAUGACUUAUAGUUGGAAAUCACGUCAGCGUCAACUGCAAUUUUUGGAAAAUGGGAUAUUUUGUGAUGUAUGACAUUACAUCCCAGCAAGCCUUUGCCAGCCCAAGGUCGAGGUGUCAGUGUCAGGACAGAUACUUU